AGUGUUUCUGCUCGUGUUCAUCAUGAAGACUUUUGUGGCUCUAAUUCUGUUGGGAAUCCUAAUAAAAGACAGCACAUCGAUGAUACACACUCUGAGAUUAUUUGACAUUUCUUCGUUUCAAGUUCCAAACUUCCCAGAGUAUGUUGCAGUCGCUGUGGUGAAUGAUGUGGAGGUGAUACACUGUGACAGUGAGACCAGGAGAUUGGAGCCCAAACAGGAGUGGAUGAACAGAGUGACAGAAGACGACCCAUUGUUCUGGGACUGGAACACUCAGCGCUGUGUGAAUGGUAUUCAGAGAGGCAAAGUCACCAUAGAGAUUGUAAAACGACUCUUCAAUCAGACUGAAGGUGUUCACACUUGGCAGACGAUGUUCGGCUGUGACUGGGACGAUGAGACUGAUGACAUCACUGUGUAUAUUCAGUACGCCUUUGAUGGACAGGACUUUCUUUCUCUGGACCUGAGCACAGAGUCCUGGGUCGCUGCUAAAUCUGAGGCCUUUAUUAUCAAACUGAAGUAUGAGAGCAGUGGACAAACUCAGAUUUACAAACAUGACAUCCACAAAGUCUGCACUGUGGGGCUGAAGAACUAUGUGCGCUAUGGAGAGAAAAGUCUGAAGAGGACAGAGCUCCCCCUGGUGUCUCUGCUGCAGAAGUCCUCCUCUUCCCCGGUCACGUGUCACGCCACAGGCUUCUACCCUGACAGAGCCAGGCUGUUCUGGACCAAAGACGGAGACAAGCUGCUGGAGGACGUGGAUCCUGGAGAGAUCCUGCCCAACGAAGACAGGACCUUCCAGACCAGUGUGUCCCUGGACCUGUCCUCUGUCCCCCCUGAGGACUGGGACAGGUACCACUGUGUGUUCCAGGUGUCUGGGGACAAAAAUAAGUAUGUGACCAGACUGGACCGGAGCAAGAUCAGGACCAACGCCAAAAAUCCCCCGACCUCCAUCAUCGCUGCUGUGGUCGUUGUGGGAGUCGUCAUCGUCGCUGCUGCUGUGGCUCUGUUUGUGAUCAGACGAAAGAGAGCACCAAACAAUCGUCGACAAGAUGCUCAGAUGAGACGAAAUCUAAAUCCUGUUACCCCGGCGACAAACUCUGGGGAAACAUCAGGUAAGUGCACAUUUCAUCUGUGUCAGUGUUUCAUCAUGUUCUUAAUGUGUUCAUAUUUUGAUCUUCUCCAGAUCCAGAGACACAGACACUGAGGCCAGGAGCUCCUGAGGCUGAGUCCACUGAGUAACACUGAACGCCGCUUUAUUCCUCUGUUUUGGUGAACUUUGUCCUGGAUAACACAGUGUUUAUAAGUCUAUCCAUCCAUGCAUGUUCUUCUGCUUUAUCCACGGAGGUCACAGUUUGAGCAGGGAGGCUCAGACUUCCCUCUACACACACAGAUAUACUUGAACUCCUCCACUUGAGGCAGGGACUCUCUACCCACCCGCUACAUCUUGAAAUUCUGUCCAUAAAAACAAUGAACAGAACCGGUGACAAAGGGCAGCCCUGGCGGAGUCCAACAUGCACCAGGAACAGGUCUGACUUACUGCAAUGAACACAGCUCCUGCUCCGGUCAUACAGGGACCGGACAGCCCUUAUCAAAUGGCCCUGGACCCUGUACUCACGGAGCACCCCCCAAAGGACACCACGAGGGACACGGUCGAAUGCCUUCUCCAGAUCCACAAAACACAUGUGGACUGGUUGGGCAAACUCCCAUGAGCCCCACAACCAGGAUGAAAACCAAACUGCUCCUCCUGGAUCUGGGGUUCGAUUAUCGGUCGGAUUCUCCUCUCCAGUAACUUGGAAUAGACCUU